GUAGGGGGCUAGCGUUGUCCGGAAUUAUUGGGCGUAAAGCGCGCGCAGGCGGCCCGUUAAGUCAGAUGUGAAAUCCCUCGGCUCAACCGAGGACCUGCAUUUGAAACUGACAGGCUAGAGUACAGGAGAGGGAAGCGGAAUUCCUAGUGUAGCGGUGAAAUGCGCAGAUAUUAGGAAGAACACCGGUGGCGAAGGCGGCUUCCUGGACUGUUACUGACGCUGAGGUGCGAAAGCUAGGGGAGCAAACAGGGAUUAGAUACCCUGGUAGUCCUAGCCGUAAACGAUGGGCACUAGGUGUAGGGGGUAUCAACUCCCCCCCCCUGUGCCGAAGCUAACGCAUUAAGUGCCCCGCCUGGGGAGUACGGCCGCAAGGCUA
rnacentral:rRNA from 1 species